CUCAACAAAUAUUUGAGCAGGCAUAGUGUGCCAGGCACAGUUCUAGGCCCUUGGGAUAUAUCAGUGAACAAAACAAAGAUCCCUGCUUUUAUGGAACAUGCAUUCUAGCAAGAGACAGGCAAUAAAUAAUGAACAUAAUAAAUAAGUAUAUAGUGUAAUAACGUGUUAAGUGCUAUGGAAAAAAGACAAGGUAAGGCAGGGCAAGGUGGCUGGAGGCUCUGGGGGCAGGUGAAGGCCUUUGCAAUUUCCCAGAUAACAUCUAGAGCUCCUUUUCUCUGAUCAGUGGUUUGUUAUUCAUUUUCUGACCAAACUGUCAGAAGAAAAAAUUGUAGGGCAUUGGCUACUGUGUGAUAUUUUAAUAAAGAUACUCUGUAUGCCACAUCUGGUGGCAAUUAAAAAAAGGGAAACUUCUCAUGGUUCCCAUUUCCUGAAUGAGUAGCACUGCAAUGAAAUUUCGAUGAGUUGAGGCUGAUAAUUUUCAGCAAUUUAAAUGUCGUUGCCUUUCCUAGAAGGAAGAGCUUUGUUUGUAAACAGCUGGGUCAAAAGAAAACGUAACCUCAUUAUUCACAUUCUUCUGAUAGGCUCCCAGUCAGAACAUAUGGGGCAGAAGGGAUAUACAGGGGCCUGAAACAUAAUCACCUAGCUUUGGGGUUUUGUUCUUUGUGACGAUGGGGGAAAGGUAAAGAGCUAAUUUCAUUCUUUCUUAGAAGACAAGUUGGACGGGAUGACAAACUUUUUGUAAAGACCGAGAAUUCAAGCAAUUACCUAGUGAUGCAUAGCAACAUAUCUGCAUGCUUGCCUUCUUGGAUUAUUGAGGGUCAAAGUCCCCGCUUGGGUCACACGCUAAACAGCUCUCAGUUUUCUGUGUUUCUUCAACAGGAUAUGAUAUGCCAAAGAUCCACUUUAAUUUCUACUGCCUUCCAUUGCCAAGAUGCUUAUUUGGGGUCCUCAGAGGAGAGGGGAUAUUUAAAAAGGAAGGAGGGAGGAAAGAGAGGGUGAUGUGGUUUGGACAGUGUCAGGAGACACAGUUGGUCCAGAUUAAGAGAGUGGUAUGCGUUGUAAUUCUAAAAUGACCUCAGCUCUAUUGAAAAUAGAGAAACUUAAUUCUUUGAUGUGGAAAUGAGCUAAAAGGGGAAGGAAAAGGUAUACUUGUAAGCUCUGGGCUUUUUUUUUCUGUGUUGCUUUUCCUAAGCCAGUGAAAUCCUCCAGGUGCAAAGGGCAGCCUGAUGCUUGAAGGGACACCGGUCAUGCAGCAGCCCCAGAUUUCCCUCCCUUUGUAGUUGACUGAAGCAGCUGCAGCCACAGCAGUUGGCAAGAAAUGGAAUGGUUCCUCUUUUUCCUGUUUCCUCAAUAUUUUCCUAAAAGACACAAACUUACAGAAGUUGUUUCUGAAAGUGGAGCUGACUGGAAAAGUACCCAGUUUUGUUUCUAGAUAUCUAUUUGUAGAAUUUUCCAAAGUCAGUCUGUCAGAGACAGGGGAUUCCAUCUCUAUCUACCUUGAAAGGCGAUUGAAUUAAACAAGCAUUUGAGGUAAAGCUGCAUCAGGCAUGAAUCCAGUUCUCAAGGAGCUCACUGCCAAGCUCAGCAGGUGAGACAGAGCACGAGGGGAAAAGGCAUUGGUGCACAAGAACAAGAACCACGGGACCAGUAACUGGGGUCUUGUCCUGAGAGGCUGUGAGAAUCACUCCACUGCUUUUUCUUCAGGGUAACUUCAUCUCCCCACAUCAUGAUUUACUGUAAGGAUUGUGGGAAAUGCUUUGCCCCCUUUGGAUGAAAGGUGUAUUAUAUAAGGUCUGUAAAAGGUUUUUGGAUACGUUUAGGAAAAAAUAAGUGAUAACAAUGAUAGUAAUAUCUAGCAUUUAUUGAAUGCUUAUUAUAUGCCUGGCAUUAAACUAAAGAUGGGAAUA